rnacentral:lncRNA from 1 species
UUACGGUUAUCCUUGGAGUUAUGGGAAGGGAUCUCCAAAAUGGAGAUAGGUCUCCAAAAGAGAGAAGGGAUCUCCAAAUGGAGAUAGGUCUCCAAAAGAGAGAGACAUGGCCUCCGAGAGAGGCACCAAAAUUGUAUUCUUGAUUGUGAUAGUAGAUUUUGACUUUUUUUUAUUGUGAUAAUGGAUUUCGACUUGCCAAGAGAGGCAACAAAAUUGUAUUUUUCAUUGUGAUAGUGGAUUUCGACUAUUCUUCA